rnacentral:rRNA from 1 species
CGGGUGAGUAACACGUGGAUAACCUACCUAUAAGACUGGAUAACUUCGGGAAACCGGAGCUAAUACCGGAUAAUAUAUUGAACCGCAUGGUUCAAUAGUGAAAGACGGUUUUGCUGUCACUUAUAGAUGGAUCCGCGCCGCAUUAGCUAGUUGGUAAGGUAACGGCUUACCAAGGCAACGAUGCGUAGCCGACCUGAGAGGGUGAUUGGCCACACUGGAACUGAGACACGGUCCAG